rnacentral:rRNA from 1 species
AUUGAACGCUGGCGGCAGGCCUAACACAUGCAAGUCGAGCGCGCGGCGGAGGGGGGAGUAAUGUAUGGGAAUCUGCCUGAUGGCGGGGGAUAACUACUGGAAACGGUAGUUAAUACCGCAAACCGUCAGCUUAACACAUAUUGGAUUAGCUUGUAGGUGAGGUAACGGUUCACCAAGGCGACGAUCCCUAGCUGGUCUGAGAGGAUGAUCGGCCACACUGGAACUGAGACACGGCCCAGACUCCUACGGGAGGCAGCAGUAGGGAAUAUUGCGCAAGGGGCGCAAGCCUGAUGCAGCCAUGCCGCGUGUGUGAAGAAGGCCUUCGGGUUGUAAAGUACUUUUAGUCGGGAAGCGUUACCGACAGAAGAAGCACCGGCUAACUCCGUGCCAGCAGCCGCGGUAAUUC